GGAGGGGUGUCCGAGUGGUUUAAGGAGCUGGUCUUGAAAAUCAGUGUCUCGAAAGAGCCGUGGGUUCGAAUCCCACCCCCUCCGCCA
rnacentral:tRNA from 2 species